UGUCCAGACUCCUACGGGAGGCAGCAGUGAGGAAUAUUGGUCAAUGGGCGAGAGCCUGAACCAGCCAAGUCGCGUGAGGGAAGACGGUCCUAUGGAUUGUAAACCUCUUUUGUCGGGGAGCAAAAAGGCCUCGUGAGGCCACAAGCGAGAGUACCCGAAGAAAAAGCAUCGGCUAACUCCGUGCCAGCAGCCGCGGUAAUACGGAGGAUGCGAGCGUUAUCCGGAUUUAUUGGGUUUAAAGGGUGCGCAGGCGGAGGUGCAAGUCAGCGGUCAAAUUGCGGGGCUCAACCCCGUACUGCCGUUGAAACUGCAUCCCUUGAGUGCGCGAGAAGUAUGCGGAAUGCGUGGUGUAGCGGUGAAAUGCAUAGAUAUCACGAAGAACCCCGAUUGCGAAGGCAGCCUGCCGCAGCGUUACUGACGCUGAAGCUCGAAAGCGCGGGUAUCGAACAGGAUUAGAUACCCUCGUAC
rnacentral:rRNA from 1 species